UUCUCUCUCGUUUCUUUCGCUACUUGUCCUAGUUACUAAAUAUAGCAAAUGACUGUAAUCAACGCUCAUUUCCUCGUUUCACGUCUAUCUUUAUUGGUGUAUCACGAACGAAGACGGAAAACGAUUCGUUUCGUCAUACCAGACGGUUAGAUGUAGUAUAAUAAGAGUAAUAGAAUCGAAAUCAACUGUAGAAGUAUUUGAUCAAGAACUUUUAUGAUGUUUACUCAAAACCGAAUGGCUUCUCGUUUUCCUCGAGCUCGUAUUUUUCAAUAAAUUUCACGAUUCGUAGACAGAGGGUCGUUUGAGAGCGGUAUCCCGGUUUCCUGCCGAGGAAUAUGAGCUUUGAAUGAACGGUCAGAACUAAUUAACGAGCAGGAGAAUCUCCGUCUGUGUCGCGGUGAAUGAAUAGCCGAAGAAGCUAAAUGAAAACAGAUUCGUCGCGCAAACGCAAGAUUUUUGUGUUUACGAACUCCAAAAAGUUCAUGGAACGCCACCAAUCCGACGUUCGGUCGUUUUAAUUCCGCCAGCUCGCCUCUGACGGAGCCGCUCGAUUUUCGUGCUUUCAAAAAAGCCGCGUGCCUCCACGUUUUCCCGCCUUUCCGCUUUCCGAGUCUCGUCCCUUUUCUCUGUCGUCCGUUUGUAGAUUAAAUUCAUUGAAAUUACUGACUUUUAUGCCGAUCAUCACUGUGAGUAUAUAAUUAUAACAAGAUUUUACGGCGGGUUAUUAAACCCGAUCGAGAUCUGCAUUAAACGCUAAAUCCGUAUCCGUAAAUUUUCAUGGAUAUUCGGAACGGGCAAUUAUACAGCGGAAACUCGACACGGGAUUCAGGCAGGGCUCCAGAUCAUCGGUUAUUCCGAACUGUUCGAUGAUACUCUUACUUACAAUUAGAAAUAGCCCGAUAUCAUUUCACGCCAUCGAAUCGUUUAUUGCGAAGCUCUAUCGUUGUCCAGUAAAACUACACCGGUUUAUUAAAUUGCCGUAGAAACGGUCUCUAUAUUUUUUUAUUUUUAAAUUAAUAACGAGGAAAGAGACUAAAGCGAAUAUUGAAUAAUUUACGUGGAUAUCUUUAUUAGAAUCGCGAUUAAAAUUACACUUUCAACGUUUCAUAUUUUACAGAAAUAUAAAUUAUAUUGUAUAUUAAAGAUUCGUAUUCAGGCUCGUGCGUUCAAUUUUGAAUCGCACGAUAAUCCGAAAUCCAGGAUUCGCGGCACGUUGCAGUGGAUAUUUUUUUCCUGGGGUUACCAGACAAAAGUGCGAGGGAAAAUAUAAAAAAGAUUUCCUUGACGGUUUCUUCUUUCUCAGGUUCGGCCAAGCUCUCUUUUACCACCCUUCCCUUCUCCUCUCCUAUUUCCUUCUUUACGUUUUACUGCCGCUUUUUAUCUUCCCCGGGGUGUGAUUUGGCGCGUUGCCCGACUCGAUACCGAUGCCUUGCCCAUUUUCAGGGCAACGGGGAAAUAAGAGGACCCCGAAAAACGUUAAGAACGUGGCUGGACCGCAGUUCUCUAUCUUGAAAUUCUCGUAGAAAGUGGGAUCUGCAACGAUCUAGUUGCUGCAGGUGCAAUAUUUCCGGCACUCGAGCUGUCCUGUCUAUUUUUAAUCCAGCAACGCUGUAAUUGCUUCCGCGAGAAAAAGAAUGACGCUAUCUUCUUGCUGUUCCAUUAUUUCUCUUCAUUCAACUUUCUUUGAAUCGUGUAUUAACAUAUACCUAUGUAGGUUUUACGAUCACGCUUAUGGAGCUGUAUUUGACACUGUAAUCGCAGUUGCAGUCACGUGCCAAGCAUUCUAUACGAGUAACGUUUGCCAAAAUUUCCUUCAAAUGCCGAUCGUUGCUGUCAAUUGCAUUCAGCGCAGGCAAAACGUGUCGUCGAUCGAAGCGAAAGAUAUUUUAAAAUGAUAGAAUAGAAUCUGGAGCAUACGAUCACUGGUUAUUCAGCAAUUUUGUUAUUUUUCCUACGCUCUCUAACCUGGCUAGUUUUGAGAAAGAAUUGUGUGAAUUCCCCCGAAGGAUUCGAAAUCUUUUCUUAAAGGAUCUAGGAAAUCGUAAUAGUAAGAGAGUAAGAGAGUAAGAGUAGGUCGUCUAGGUAGAGAUAUAUCGUUUGAAUGGAGUAAAAUUUCGCGGUGCUGGAGGAUCAAAAGAUACCUAAGUUAUCCGAUACGAGAGCGGUUAGGUUGGUAUUAGCGAAGAGAAUCGAAAUGCUUCCGAUCGUUUCGCGAAGUCACGCGUGAAAGUUUCGGACAGGAAAUUCCGAUCGGAACUCGGAUGGUUUGCUGGAUAUUAAACGGAGGACGCGUCUUUGCUCGCUAGUUUCCAAGGAAUCUGUUAUAGGUGAAGCAGCAGUAGAACGUGAUCGUACACAUAGCUACUAGUUCUUCGCAAUAUUGAAACAGUGAGAAAAGGAUUAAAAAUUCCUUUUAUCGAAUAACGUUUAUCGUCGUUGAAAGCUUGAAUAGUCAAUAAUUAUAGAAUGGAGUGGUUGGAAGGUUGGUGAAUAGAGAGGAAUCGGUAGGAGACUAGCGUGGAAAUUGUGCCGCGUUUAAUUGCUCUUUUCUUUUAAAUAGAGAUUCCGUAUAAAAAUCCUUUGAUAAGGAUACCGUUGAAACGAAGAUUCGAGGAAUCGGAUUCGAGUGCUUCCCGUUGGAACGACUCGUUUCGCAUUAACCCCUUCUGCGAACGAACAAACGAACGAGACUGUCAGGUUGUUACGGACUCGUAGCAAGUAUUAAUUGCUUCGUUUCUCAGCUCGCGUGCGUAAACGAUAUCAAUUAAAGCAACGAACGAAGCACCCAGUUGAUAAUCGCUUCAUUAUUUGUCUCGACUUUCGUCCACGAUAUCGUGAUCUCUCGCUCGAAACGAGUUGGCGUUUUUAUACUUUUUUCUUUUUUCGUUUUUGUUUGUUCAUCUCUUCAAUGCACGAAUGAAAAUGUGCAGAUUGUUUCUGAAAGGUCAUUCCAGUCUAUUUUGAGCACACUACAUCGUGUCACGUUCGAACGUUUUCAAUAUAAGCGAUUGAAAUGAAAUAAAAAUCGUUUGAAUCGUCGAUUGAUUUGAAACUCGAUCAAAUUUCAGAUGUAAUGGAAAAAUGUUCGAGUUGGAGCGGAAAAUUUUCGAUUGAAAAUGGAACGUUUUCGAUGUAAAAAAAAGUAUAAAAUUACGAGAGCCAUUAAUUGUCUGAAAAUGAUUAAUUUCGAAAUUGUAAUUGGUAUUCGAUAUAGUAGAUAAAAGCAGAGCGAAGAAUAAUGGUUCGAAAAUCACGGAUACCUGACACUGGCCGUCAAACUGUUAAUAAAUAAAGAACGAUCGUGGCUCUGCCGUUAAUUACUUUAGCGAAUUACGGACGAGUUGCCAGGUGGAAUUAAAACAGGCCGAGUUUCGUUUAAUUUGAUUGGCCGAUGAUCGAAUCGGAACGCGACGAAAUCGAGCGUAUUUAUCCGCAGCACCGAAACCAAGCGGACUCGACAAAUUUUGAGCAGCGCGACGCAGCGCGACGCGACGCGACGCGACGCGCCAGUUUUCAUAUUCCAAGAGGAUAUUCCAACGGGAUAGGGUAGAGGGAGGCCUUCUACGCCUGCCUCGAUUUAAUUGAAUUGUUACGCGCUCGCAAAAUUGCAACCGAGUGUGUUUUUCAGAAUCGUUUACAAACUAGUCGACGAUACGUUCCCUGUUUUAAUUUCAUUUCGAUAUGGACGUUGAAUUACCGAGCACGCUCGAAACAGAAACACGGAAAAAUCAACUCUUAACACUGGACCACCACUUUGUGUAAUUGAAGAUACAUCGGUAAUCAAUUUCUUUUUUUCUGACUCUUCCUGGCACGCAAGUACUUACUUUGGACAAAAAAUACUUUUAAAAUUCAUACAAAUAAUACUCGACUUUUUCCAGUUUCGAUCGCGUUCUAUUUGCGUAGCAGAUGUUUCGUAAAUAUUGCAAUUUAUCGAAGAAGCAAACCUUGAAAAAGUAAACUGCAAUGUUUACAAAACGGCGGCUAAAAAAACAAAAUUCGAAACUCUGAAAAUGGUGGCGAAUUGAUUCACACCAUCGUGCAAGUUUCGCGUGUAGAAACAAGAUAUUUUUACAUUUUUAUUUAAAAAAAGAUGAAAUCAUCUGAAAAUUCGUGAUGUAUAAUAAAUUAGUCUCGAUUAAAUGGUACAUGAAAAAAGCAGAAAAAAUUGGUGUCGCGUUUGCUGAAAAGAAUUUUGUGGGAAGGAUGGACGGUAUUUCGUUCGAUAUGAUCGAAACGAAAUCGACAUAUCGCAGUUAUGCAUUCUGGGAAUUUUCGAGGGUGGGACGAGCCAUCCCCAGAGACCGGAGACCGGAGACCGGAACCGUCCGACCGUGUUUAAUUGGAAUUUCGGUGGCGGGAAAAAUUUGACGAACACAGCUCUUCGCCGCUCACCGUUUGCCGUUUGCCGUUUGCCCCGUUUGCCGUUCGAAGAGAUCGAUUGCAAAUUAUUCUCGACACGAUACGCGAAGUCAAUCCCCUGGCAGGCCGUUGAAAUUUUCCGAGGCUUGUAGCGUGCUUUAACACGCGUUCGAUUAAACUCGGAGCCUAACGAAUCUCGCUGGCAACCGUCAGUGUCGAACAUUGCCACCGCCCUUCAUCCUCCAACGACACCAAGAACAAAGCUCGAAACAAACUUGUAUCGUUUUGUUCCACAAUUGCGAUUGAUGAGAAUCGAUUGAACCUGGCUGAAUUGAUUGAUUGAUUGAUUGAUUGAUGCGAAAAUCAUUCAUUUUUUCAAAGCAUUCCCUUUAUUGUUACUACACUGCAAGUAGACUGUGCGAUAUGUUGGAUAGGUUUUUUAUUUAUUCUUUUAUCACGGACGUGAAAGGGUUAAAAAUGAAAAGAAAAUGAUAAAAGCGGUCUAAUUGCAAAACUUUGACGACGAGUUUGCUUGAUCGCAUCGAUGAGAGAAAGGAUUGCGUUUAAACGACGCGACGCGAUAACUCGUCUUUCACGUGAUUAACGAGUUAAUGGCGAUUGAACGAGGAAAGGGGAAACGAUGAAUAUGAAAGCAGAGAUCCAUUCACGCUUUAUUUCUUGCUCGAUUUUCAAUUGCUAAUGGAUGAACGCGUCCACCCGAGAUAUCUUUACAUCGCAAUUCUCCCUUGAUAUGGUUGAUCGAACGAAUCGACGAGCAAUUUGGUAUUCCCUUAACGAUUCCAAGAUAACAAGAACGGUCUUCCGUGUAAUUUGCAAUUUAAAAUUACCCUUUUACAUUAGUCCCCGUUGUAAUCACUUCGAUUUUAUACGUUCACUAGGUAAAUAUCUAUUCGUACCGGCUUUCGUUUUCUCCCUUUCCAGCAAUCUACAUUGGAAAACGCGAAUAAAAAGCGUUUUCUGUAAACGUUCGAAAGUAACCCUUCGAAUGGAAGUAAUUUCUUUUCAACUAAAAUAUUAUCUAAUUGUAAAUGAAAAAUCUAUUUUAGAACGUUUCUUUUUGCUAAAAUUUUCUUCGAACGCGAAAAACUAGUUAGCACUUGUUAUUAUGUCAGGGCAAAUUAACAUUAUCCGUGAUAUCCUUGGUGUCUCUCUGUUACCAUAACUCGUUGCCAACAUAAUUUUAUCGGGGCCACGGUGCGGGUAACAACAUGCUGACACAGUGCGAGACAAUAUCUCGAAGCAAGUGGAACCCAGAGACGCGGGCCGUGUGUCGCGUAUAUGUACAUAGGAGAACAAGUUUCGAUAGGUUUAAAUAACUUUUUUGAAAAAGAAGCAAAAAUUUUAACGAGAAGUACGGUAGAGAGGAUUAUCAAGGGAAAAUUGUCACGUGUCGAGUUACACGUAUGUGUCUUGCGUACGCAACAAUGCUCGGGAUGUAUAUCAAGCUGUGCCUGUCAUCGCCGUAUCUAGCUUACCCAAUAUCACCUCGGUAUUAACUCGCAAAUGCCUGGCUGCCUGAUACAAUUAUCCUCGUCUAGCCUCGAACCAGCCCUAAUUAACCAACGAUUAAUCUUUAAACUUGCCCAAGACCAAGUAAAGGUAAACUCGUCCCCUCUCUUCAACUACCUUCCAACUUGCCUCUUUCUUUUAUCUCUUUUAUCUCUUUUCUCCUGUUCUUUCACAACGAAACUUUGGCCAGAACGCGUUAUCCGCUUUUUGCAGGCCACCUAUUCGAAUCUGCUGCUUCGAAAAGAUUUCGUCAACGAUGCAAUUAGAAAAAAGUUCUAAUGAUCGCGUCAGCUUCGAAUUGAAGCGUCUUUAAACACAUGUUGGUAUGUAUAUAACGUGUCUUUCAUGGAACAGAAACGAGGAGGAGGCAGCGCAGCUGCGGCCGUACAAUACAUACGUGUAUGUAUGUACAAUAUAUCACGACCCGUUUUCUCCGAUAUAAAUAUGGAUGGGAAGCAGCGUAAUGUCGCCGAUAUAACUCUCCGCCUACAAUAAGAAACGAGGAUGCACGGUUGAAAACGUUAAUGCAACCUUGUAAUAUUUCCGCGUUUUACUUCGAUAUUGAAAACGACCGAGCUAUGUAUUGCUUUCCGAGUCUGUUCUCUUCGCGUAGUAAUACCUCAUUCCUCGAAUAAAAACUUCUCUAAUGGAAUUUUUAAAGAAAAGAUUAUUUAGCCGAGCAAAUAUAAUACCGGUGAACUGAAUGGUUAUGGAGUUAACUUGAAAAUUCUUAAGCGUCGUUCGUUUAAUUAAAGCUUGAAAAGCUUUUUAAUUAAAAUACCAGAGAGUGUUAAGUGAAGGGUAGCAAUGUAGGUAAUUCAA